UACAGAGGGGGCGAGCGUUGUUCGGAAUUACUGGGCGUAAAGGCGCGUAGGCGGCCAACUAAGUCAGACGUGAAAUCCCUCGGCUCAACCGGGGAACUGCGUCUGAUACUGGAUGGCUUGAAUUCGGGAGAGGGAUGCGGAAUUCCGAGGUGUAGCGGUGAAAUGCGUAGAUAUCUGGAGGAACACCGGUGGCUAAGGCGGCUCUCUAGUACGGUACGUGACGCUGAGACGCGGAAAGCGUGGGGAGCGAACGAGG
rnacentral:rRNA from 1 species